UGUGGCCUGUGUCCUCAUUCGUUCACAUGUUUGCUGGGGGCCCACCCCCAUUCAAGGCCCCAGGAUACAGAGGAGACCACUGCUCCUGCAGAGCCUCCCCUCAAGCGUGGAAGAAAUAAAUAAGCAGGUCAGAGCGCCUUCUGGGGAGGAAGGCGGCGGCCUCCCAGCUCCGGUCUCCUUAAGUGCACCCUGGGAAGUCUUCACACUGCCUUUCUUUUCCCCCGGUGGUCUAAUCUGGAGUCAGAUCCAGCCGCUGGCUCCUACAGCCGGGGAAGGACUGCGAGCCAACAGGAAAACAACAGUUACCCUUAUCACGCUGACCCGGAGGACCUCUGUGCGUGACAUUCCAUGUCCCUGCCUCAAAUUCUGCAAACGUGCUUUUAGGUGUUGAUGGGACAGGCUCUCCGGUUGUUCUUAAAAAAAGAUGUUACUUCUCUCCUUUACACCGCUUUCCACAAGGAUGACUUGAAAUUUCUUUUAAAGAAGAGUUCUUUCAGGAU
rnacentral:lncRNA from 1 species